rnacentral:rRNA from 1 species
UUGACCUCGAAUCAGGUAGGAAUACCCGCUGAACUUAAGCAUAUCAAUAAGCGGAGGAAAAGAAACCAACCGGGAUUACCUCAGUAACGGCGAGUGAAGCGGUAACAGCUCAAAUUUGAAAUCUGGCUCCUGCGGAGUCCGAGUUGUAAUUUGUAGAAGAUGCUUUGGGUUGUGGGUUCGGCCUAAGUUCCUUGGAACAGGACGUCAUAGAGGGUGAGAAUCCCGUAUGUGGCCGAGGCCCGCGCCUAUGUAAAGCUCUUUCAACGAGUCGAGUUGUUUGGGAAUGCAGCUCAAAAUGGGUGGUAAAUUUCAUCUAAAGCUAAAUAUGGGCCAGAGACCGAUAGCGCACAAGUAGAGUGAUCGAAAGAUGAAAAGCACUUUGGAAAGAGAGUUAAACAGUACGUGAAAUUGUUGAAAGGGAAGCGCUUGCAACCAGACUUGGGCGCUGCCGAUCACCCUGAGUUCUCUCAGGUGCACUCGACAGCGCACAGGCCAGCAUCGGUUCGGGUGGCUGGAUAAAGGCCGUAGGAACGUAGCUCCCUCCGGGGAGUGUUAUAGCCUACGGUGCCAUGCAGCCCAGCCGGACCGAGGACCGCGCCUUCGGGCUAGGAUGCUGGCGUAAUGGUUGUAAGCGACCCGUCUUGAAACACGGACCAAGGAGUCUAACAUCUAUGCGAGUGUUUGGGUGGCAAACCCAUACGCGGAAUGAAAGUGAACGUAGGUGAGAACCCCUUUGGGGCGCAUCAUCGACCGAUCC